GUAAGGGGCCACCGCGAACAUCAAAAUUCGUAAUAGUCUGUCUCUAUCUGCAUUAUUGGAGCGACAGAAUGGAUAUACACAAAUUUCGAUUUUCGAAGUUUGCGGUGGCCCCUUGUCCUUGUAUUUAUAAUUAAUCUUGAAAUAUUGUUUCAUAGAUGUUUUUAUUUUGAAUUUACUUAAGACUGUAUGUUGGAAAAUAAAUGAUAUUUUUAUAAUAACUAGAA